rnacentral:rRNA from 1 species
GACGAACGCUGGCGGCGUGCUUAACACAUGCAAGUCGAACGCGCCUGUCCUCUGGGUUUCUGGGGGGUGGGUGAGUGGCGAACGGGUGAGUAACACGUGAGUAACCUGCCCCCUUCUUCGGGAUAACGGUCUGAAAGGGCUGCUAAUACCGGGUAUUCACUGGUCUCCGCAUGGGGUCUGGUGGAAAGGUUUUUUUCUGGUGGGGGAUGGGCUCGCGGCCUAUCAGCUUGUUGGUGGGGUGAUGGCCCACCAAGGCUUUGACGGGUAGCCGGCCUGAGAGGGUGACCGGUCACAUUGGGACUGAGAUACGGCCCAGACUCCUACGGGAGGCAGCAGUGGGGAAUAUUGCACAAUUGGCGCAAGCCUGAUGCAGCGACGCCGCGUGAGGGAUGGAGGCCUUCGGGUUGUGAACCUCUUUCGCCCGUGGUCAAGCCGCGACGUGGGUCGUGGUGAGGGUAGUGGGUAAAGAAGCGCCGGCUAACUACGUG